GAUGAACGCUGGCGGCGUGCUUAACACAUGCAAGUCGAACGAUGAAGCUCAGCUUGCUGGGUGGAUUAGUGGCGAACGGGUGAGUAACACGUGAGUAACCUGCCCUUAACUCUGGGAUAAGCCCGGGAAACUAGGUCUAAUACCGGAUAGGAGCGCCUACCGCAUGGUGGGUGUUGGAAAGAUUUAUCGGUUUUGGAUGGACUCGCGGCCUAUCAGCUUGUUGGUGAGGUAAUGGCUCACCAAGGCGACGACGGGUAGCCGGCCUGAGAGGGUGACCGGCCACACUGGGACUGAGACACGGCCCAGACUCCUACGGGAGGCAGCAGUGGGGAAUAUUGCACAAUGGGCGAAAGCCUGAUGCAGCGACGCCGCGUGAGGGAUGACGGCCUUCGGGUUGUAAACCUCUUUCAGUAGGGAAGAAGCGAAAGUGACGGUACCUGCAGAAGAAGCACCGGCUAACUACGUG
rnacentral:rRNA from 1 species